rnacentral:rRNA from 1 species
GAUUAGGAGACGUUGAAUACAAAACACCGCUGUUAAUCCUUUCGGGGGUUAAUAGUUGGUGAAUGACUCC